CCGCCACAGAAUUCAGUGUGGUGUACAGCUGAAAAAGGAGGAGUUGGUGUGCUUCUGUUCUGUGUAAAACUUGUGGGCAAGUUGAGACAACUGAAAAGGAGGAAUUGGUCUGGUUCAUAUUAUGUCCCAACCAGUUGCUUCCUUUUCUCUGGACUUACUUUCGUUCUAUGCUGGGGUGGACCAUUUGAAGGGGUUAUUUGUUGAGGUGUUGGACCAUUUGCAUUUGAAGGUGAGAGUUGAGGAGUAUAUCAUUUUUUUUAUUAUUUUUGUGCAGGUGCUCUCUGGACACGAUGUGGUCUUCAAAAACAACAAAAUUGUGGCGUCUCCUAUAGACUAUGGUGGUGGUGCUCCACAAGACUGUCAUACUUAUCAAGACGUGAUGCACCACGGUUGUUGUUGGAGGAUGUUGUUGAAUGUUACCAUGUUUGGCUUUUAGUUGAGGGUUUGUUUGUGAGGCACCCGGUACUCCGGCGUGGCCAUAACUGUCUGUUAGCACUUUUUGUAAAUUGGAAUCCUCAGUUCUGAUCGGGGUUUUUCAAGCUUUCAAACUUCACUCAAUCUGUUGCCGGGCAGGCCUUAUUUAGUUCGUGAAAUUUUUUAUGUUUGGCUAAUACAACACUUUCGUUUUUAUUUGACAACUAUUAUCCAAUUUUAGAUUAACUAGGCUCAAAAGAUUCGUUUCGUAAAUUACAAGUAAACUGUGUAAUUAGUUAUUUUUUUUAGCAUGUGCCGCAAGACUUAAUGUGACGAGGAAUCUUGAAAAAUUUUAGGAACUAAAGCCUCAGUCCAGUUCACGCAUUUGUAGCCACUCUAGAAACAGUUGC
rnacentral:lncRNA from 1 species